rnacentral:tRNA from 1 species
UGGGGUUGUGGCUCAAUGGUGGAGUGCUUGCUUUGCACACAUGAGACACUGAGUUCAAUCCUCAGCACCACAA